AACUUGCAUAUCACCAAUGUAAGC
rnacentral:siRNA from 1 species